GUGCCAGCCGCCGCGGUAAUACGGAGGAUGCGAGCGUUAUCCGGAUUUAUUGGGUUUAAAGGGUGCGCAGGCCGACUGGCAAGUCAGCGGUAAAAUUGAGGGGCUCAACCCCUUCGAGCCGUUGAAACUGUCAGUCUUGAGUGAGCGAGAAGUAUGCGGAAUGCGUGGUGUAGCGGUGAAAUGCAUAGAUAUCACGCAGAACUCCGAUUGCGAAGGCAGCAUACCGGCGCUCAACUGACGCUCAUGCACGAAAGCGUGGGUAUCGAACAGGAUUAGAUACCCUGGUAGUCCACGCAGUAAACGAUGAAUACUAACUGUUCGGACCGAUUGAGGUCUGAGUGGUAAAGCGAAAGCGUUAAGUAUUCCACCUGGGGAGUACGCCGGCAACGGUGAA
rnacentral:rRNA from 1 species